rnacentral:tRNA from 1 species
GGGCCUGUAGUCUAGUGGUACGACGCGUCAUUCGCAUUGACGAGGCGGGGGUCCGAUUCCCCCCAGGUCCA